GGGUGUGAUCAUACUAGCGUUAAUUUACCAUAUCCCAUCAGAACUCCGUAGUUAAGCACACUUGGGCUAGAGUAGUACUGGGAUGGGUGACCUUUUGGGAAGUCCUCGUGUUACACCCU
rnacentral:rRNA from 1 species